AGAGAGGCUUUCGAAUCGUCUCCGCCUCCCGCAACGAGCGGAUGCCACAGUCUUCUCAGCGUAGGCGCCGCUGAAACGUCCUGACGGUAUCCGUGAUGGCCUGUUAUCCUAUACGGGCAAGACCAGAAAGAGUGAAUUUCUCCCGGACCUCCCCCAGGGCUGCUGCCCAUCAGCUUCGGAAGAUGGAGCGGCCACACGGGCAAAUCCUGGCUGCGGCAAUUCAACUGAACUCCAGGUAUUUUCACACAACACUGUGCUCAUAAAACUGAAUCAUCCACCAGGAUUAGCAAGCCCCUUUUGGAAAUGGGACUCUGCCUCAGUUUCUCCAGCUGCAACCUGCAGUUAACAACAUCGACCCAUGGCCCCGGGAGCACAGGCUCUAAUUGGUCAAUGUUUAUAAGGCUCUCGGGAAGAGGAAACGCACUGUAUAAAUACUGAAAGUGAUUAGGCUGAAGAAUGUUCUCCCACACUGAAAAGAUGUUUCACGGCUAUAUUCCGAUCAUCAGUUUACACUCUAUUUCUCACUUACGCUACUUCCGGAAAACAUCAACAAUUAGGUAUAAUGGGCUGAGUGAGUUUUCAAAAGGUCUGGUCAGAAAGGGACAUUUCUCAGCUAAUUAAUCAGUCUUAAUCCCCAUUUUUACAGAUGGCAUAACUGAGGC